CGUGCACGUGAACUUUCGAGUCUCUCAAACACUGGAGCGGCCGGCGCGCAGAGUUGCCAUGGAAACGGCGCGGGACCACUGCUACUGGUAAACAACAAAACUCCCUCUCUCGCUGUUGUUUCAACUUUUCACGGCUUUUUUCAGUAGUAACGAAAUAACCCAUAACAGAGAGAAAGCUCCUACUUCAACAUUUCUGAAGAAAGCUGCUGCCGGAGAAGUAACGUUAGGACACAGAGAUGGCAACAUGAACGGAAAAAAAGGGGUUGUUGGUGAAAAAAGAGCCUUGACCUACAAAAGGUGCAGCUAAUAAUUGACUAUGUCAAAAAGAGGCACCCAGGCAUCGGAGGCACUGAGAUCAAGGUCUGCAUGACACAAAAGUUAAGAGAUCUGAGGAGACGAGCAGAAAGAUGACUGUGGUGAAGAUGGAUGAAGAUGGAUGAGGCUUUCAAGUGCAGGAUCUACAAUUGUUUUCGUUUCACCUUUUCGUUUUGCCUGUUUUGAAUGUGAUGCACAGCCUAGGCCUAUAUAAUUGUGUUUUUUUGUCUGUUUUUAAUCAACAAUUAAACAAUGAAUCGACAAAAACAUGGACUGUA